ACCUUAAGUAGUGUAGUAGUAGCACACUUCCCCGGCAUGGAUAAAAAGCGGGUUCGACUCCCGUCUGAGGCC